UACGAAGGGGGCUAGCGUUGUUCGGAAUUACUGGGCGUAAAGCGCACGUAGGCGGAUCUUUAAGUCAGAGGUGAAAUCCCAAGGCUCAACCUUGGAACUGCCUUUGAUACUGGGGAUCUUGAGUCCGGGAGAGGUGAGUGGAACUGCGAGUGUAGAGGUGAAAUUCGUAGAUAUUCGCAAGAACACCAGUGGCGAAGGCGGCUCACUGGCCCGAUACUGACGCUGAGGCACGAAAGCGUGGGGAGCAAACAGG
rnacentral:rRNA from 1 species